AACGAACGCUGGCGGCAUGCCUAACACAUGCAAGUCGAACGAGAUCUUCGGGUCUAGUGGCGCACGGGUGCGUUACGCGUGGGAAUCUGCCCUUUGGUUCGGAAUAACAGUUGGAAACGACUGCUAAUACCGGAUGAUGACGAAAGUCCAAAGAUUUAUCGCCAGAGGAUGAGCCCGCGUAGGAUUAGCUAGUUGGUGUGGUAAAGGCGCACCAAGGCGACGAUCCUUAGCUGGUCUGAGAGGAUGAUCAGCCACACUGGGACUGAGACACGGCCCAGCCUCCUACGGGAGGCAGCAGUGGGGAAUAUUGGACAAUGGGCGGAAGCCUGAUCCAGCAAUGCCGCGUGAGUGAUGAAGGCCUUAGGGUUGUAAAGCUCUUUUACCCGGGAUGAUAAUGACAGUACCGGGAGAAUAAGCUCCGGCUAACUCCGUGCCAGCCGCCGCCGUAA
rnacentral:rRNA from 1 species